rnacentral:rRNA from 1 species
AUUGAACGCUGGCGGCAUGCCUUACACAUGCAAGUCGAACGGCAGCACGGGUGCUUGCCCCUGGUGGCGAGUGGCGCACGGGUGAGUAAUACAUCGGAACAUGUCCUGUCGUGGGGGAUAGCCCGGCGAAAGCCGGAUUAAUACCGCAUACGAUCUACGGAUGAAAGCGGGGGACCUUCGGGCCUCGCGCUAUAGGGUUGGCCGAUGGCUGAUUAGCUAGUUGGUGGGGUAAAGGCCUACCAAGGCGACGAUCAGUAGCUGGUCUGAGAGGACGACCAGCCACACUGGGACUGAGACACGGCCCAGACUCUGACGGGAGGCAGCAGUGGGGAAUUUUGGACAAUGGGCGAGAGCCUGAUCCAGCAAUGCCGCGUGUGUGAAGAAGGCCUUCGGGUUGUAAAGCACUUUUGUCCGGAAAGAAAUCCUUGGCCCUAAUACGGUCGGGGGAUGACGGUACCGGAAGAAUAAGCACCGGCUAACUACGUG